rnacentral:rRNA from 1 species
GGCCUUUUGUGUAAUAUAAUAGGUCCAGCCUGCCCACUGAUUUAUUAUUAAAUGGCCGCGGUAUAUUGACCGUGCAAAGGUAGCAUAGUAAUUUGUCUUUUAAUUGAAGGCUGGAAUGAAGGGUUUUACGAGAUAAACGCUGUCUCUUAUAAAUAUUUAUAAUUUAACUUUUUAGUGAAAAGGCUUAAGGUUAAAAAUGUUUCUGGAGGACAAUAAGACCCUAUAGAUCUUAAAUAUAUUAUGGAAAUUUUUAUUUUAGAUGUGUGGAUUGAUAAUUUUGUAAGUAUUUUGGUUGGGGCGACAUGAAGAAAAAAUAAUCUCUUUGUGGAGAAUUACAUUUAUAUAUGUAAUGUUUAUUAAUUGAUCCUAAAUUUUAGAUUAUAAGAUUAAGUUACCUUAGGGAUAACAGCGUAAUCUUUUUUAAGAGUUCAAAUCGACAAAAAGGGUUGCGA